rnacentral:rRNA from 13 species
GCCUACGGCCAUACCACCCUGAAAAAGCCAGAUCUCGUCUGAUCUCGGAAGCUAAGCAGGGUCGGGCCCGGUUAGUACUUGGAUGGGAGACCGCCUGGGAAUACCGGGUGCUGUAGGCC